GAUGAACGCUGGCGGCGUGCUUAAUACAUGCAAGUCGAACGAAUGGAUGUCUAGCUUGCUAGACUGAAGUUAGUGGCGAACGGGUGAGUAAUACAUAGGCAAUCUGCCCUGAAGUGUGGGAUAGCUAUUGGAAACGAUAAUUAAUACCGCAUAGGUAGUAAGAAGGCAUCUUCCUACUAUUAAAGAUGCGUCUGCAUCGCUGCAGGAUGAGCUUAUGGUGUAUUAGCUAGUUGGUGAGAUAAAAGCCCACCAAGGCUAUGAUACAUAGCUGGUCUGAGAGGAUGAACAGCCACAUUGGGACUGAGAUACGGCCCAGACUCGUAGUGACU
rnacentral:rRNA from 1 species